rnacentral:rRNA from 1 species
GUCCACGCCCUAAACGAUGCGAACUAGGUGUUGGGGAAGGAGACUUUCUUAGUACCGCAGCUAACGCGUGAAGUUCGCCGCCUGGGGAGUACGGUCGCAAGAUUAAAACUCAAAGGAAUUGACGGGGACCCGCACAAGCGGUGGAUGAUGUGGAUUAAUUCGAUGCAACGCGAAAAACCUUACCUACCCUUGACAUGUCAGGAAGUCUGCUGAGAGGUGGAUGUGCCCGAAAGGGAACCUGAACACAGGUGCUGCAUGGCUGUCGU